GACGAACGCUGGCGGCGUGCCUAAUACAUGCAAGUCGAGCGAAGUUUUUCUGGUGCUUGCACUAGAAAAACUUAGCGGCGAACGGGUGAGUAACACGUAAAGAACCUGCCUCAUAGACUGGGACAACUAUUGGAAACGAUAGCUAAUACCGGAUAACAGUAUUUCUCGCAUGAGAGAUAUUUAAAAGUUGGUUAUGCUAACACUAUGAGAUGGCUUUGCGGUGCAUUAGCUAGUUGGUGGGGUAAAGGCCCACCAAGGCGACGAUGCAUAGCCGACCUGAGAGGGGGAUCGGCCACACUGGGACUGAGACACGGCCCAGACUCCUACGGGAGGCAGCAGUAGGGAAUCUUCCGCAAUGGGCGAAAGCCUGACGGAGCAACGCCACGUGAGUGAAGAAGGAUUUCGGUUCGUAAAGCUCUGUUGUUAGGGAAGAAUGGAUAUGUAGUAACUAUACAUGUAAGAGACGGUACCUAACCAGAAAGCCACGGCUAACUACGU
rnacentral:rRNA from 1 species